GAAAAAAUGAAACUGAUGUUGUGGUGCAGGAAGUGUCCCUUCAUUAUACGGAUUCUGGGAGUGGGCAAGCGGCGGAUCAUAGGCUGCUGUGUCGUGAAGGAAGUUUAUGGUAAAACCACGUAAGACUGAAUAUCGUUCGGCAGCUAUUAUUGGCCUAUCUUACCAAUUAGAUACAAUAAUAACUGAUACAGGUUCACACAUAACCUGAUGUGUUAGAGAAAACGACUAACUUCACCAACUCAAGAAAAAACAAGUCGUAUGUAAGUCCUAUAGGAGACAUCAAGCUCUCUUUCCUGGUGGCUGAAAUUACACCGUGCUCAGCGAGUAUAGCGAGGUGCAUGAUCGGCGCAUUUGAUUUUAACGUCAAUGCAUCAGUGACUAAGUAAAAGCAAAGCGCCAAACAACAAUACUAACACAUUAAAUUUUGGAUUGAAUGAAAACUAAUUUGAAAUCGAACAAAAACUGGAUCAAAACAAAAUUUAAAUUUAAUUCAAAUGAAAUUCAAAUAUAAUUAAAGUAAAUUGGAAUUAAAUUCAAAUUAAAAUUAUUGUUGAAUCACAUUGAAUUGAAAUUAAAGUAAAAU